ACCAGCUGGUAUUUACCGCUCACCACAGUGGGCGUAGAAAAUGCCUGGCUCAGACACGUUUUGGCUUAUCGCGCAAAACUUUACAUAUACAACAGGUGUUUUGAACACUGACAAACAGGUCUACCUUUCCUUGUCAUUUUCUGAUGGUGAAAGAAGCACAGUAGCACUUCCCUGACAUACAUGAUGGCAGAAGCUCAAGAUUGUAACAAAUGACACUAGCUGCAAGCCAAGGUGGUGGUCUCUGGGCAGUGGUAGAACACAAUCCAUUAUGAAGAGAUGAGAAUGAUUAUGUCUGUUUAUGUCCUAUAACCAAUGUAAUAAUAAAGGCCACAGAACAAUAUCUAAAAUAAAAAAAAAUGCUUA